CAGUCUAGCUGACUGACCUGUGUCACUUUUGAACACCAGUUCCAGUUGACCAGGUUGUGUUGCUGCCUUAGAUGAGCUGGAAGGAAAGGCCCAGAAGGCACGACAUCUGAAAUACAGAUAAUGAAAGAAAUUAGGAUCUAUAUCCUGUAAAAUAUGAUCACGAUACACAGCUAAGAAAGUCAAGGCCGUCUUGCCCUGCACCUGAGAGGCUGGAACUGAGAGGCCUGUCCAGUUGGAACCGUGCUGUAACUGGACCACGUGAUGGACUUGUGGGUGUUGGGCAGGGACUUGAACUUUCCUUUGGGUGGAAGAUUUCAGAUUUGGGUUUCCCCAAAUGUGCAAAUAUGAGAUCUCUAAUAAAAAUUAACUUUGAGGAAAUCCAAGCCUCAGAGUUUUCUUCCGUUGGGGGUGUUACUUGGAAUCCUGAUGGUCAGAAUCAAACUCCAGGCUAUGGGCAGAGUUUGCCUACAAUACUACACUGACCACUGUGCCACCAGGGCUCUAAGAUCCUACAUUCACCAAGGCACCAAUUGAAAGAGAUCAGCAUACAGACAAGAGACAUUUAUCAUACAAUGUAUGCUAAAAAAAUUUAAUCAUCUCCAAUUAUGGCCACUAGUGUAGCUAUCACUACACUAUCAUAUCAAUUCAUUGUGGAUGAUUCCAUAGUAAUCUAGAAUCUCCUUACUCAGAAUUUGCAGCAAAUGGAAGUUACAUUUGCUGAAAAUUCAUGGAAAGGGAAGGUUAACAUCAAGAGGAGAGAUCAAUCUGGCCAUGACAGUGAGCAGUUUCUUAUACCAUAUAAAUCAGUCAUGAAUAUACUAGUCUAUCAGUUAUUGAUGACCUACAAUUUCCCACCACCUCAGCAUCAUCAGAAGAAAGGGAUGCUAGUAUUACAUUUUAUCAACAUCUGAAGACCAAAUAUUUCUCAUUACUAAGAGAGAACUUGGGCAAUAGGGAUGUUCCCUGGUGCUUACUUUUGUUUCUUUAUAAUAUGGGUGUGUAAUUUUUUUUUCCAGCUCAAGAACUACAUUCCUCACAAUAGCAGAAGAGAAAACAGGAUGAGAUAUAAAAUCCAAUUUUCUUUUAUAUUUAUACAUAAUUGCAAUUAAGCAUGCCUUAUGUUUAUUAUCUUCCUUUCAGUCACAUAUAAAAUUACACUAUGGCAAAAACCUUGAGAAGUCUCCAGGCCUCUUGAAAAUUUAGGGUGCUGCUGUGUUGUACAAAACUGAUGCGAAAAUUGUACAGCUGUGAAACAACAGUCAAUGUCUAACUUCCCAAAUCUAGCAAGUGACUGGCACAGAAUAGAAAUGUCUUUUCAAUGACAGUUUUCACACUAAACUAAGCCAUUGUUUGUAUGGCAAUGACUUGCUGAAUAGGUCAUAGCACACUAGGGUUUAUAAAAUACCCUGGCUGAGUUAAUAUGUUAAUCUGAAACUAAGUUUAUGACUUAACGUAUUAUAUUUUCUUAGAAGGGCCCUAAAUAAUUUAACACAAAACAUGCAAUGUAUAACUGCA